UGUGGGGGGGUGUCCCUCAGCCUGGAUUGCGAGGGGGCGCAGGCCAGGCUGAGGGACCCUAUUGGUGCAUG
rnacentral:pre_miRNA from 1 species